UUUUAUAAUAUCCAGUAACAGACUUAUUUAGAAGAUGAACAGGUUUUUGUCCCCAACACAUCAUUUUUCCCCCGACACUCUACACUUAAAACUAGUAUAGGGUGUUCCUCUUGUGGUGCAGCAGCAAUGAAUUUGUCUCUUUUCGGUGAGGAUGAAGGAUCGAUCCUUGGCCCCACUCAGUGGGUCUGGGAUCUGGCGCUGCCGUGAGCUUCAGUGUAGGUCGAAGAUGUGGCUUGGAUCUCUCAUUGCUAUGGCUGUGGUGUAGGCGGCUGCUGUAGUUCUUAUUCGACCCUUAUCCUGGGAACUUCAAUAUGCUGUGGGUGCAGCCCUAAAAGGCAAACAACCAAACAAAAACUAGUGGACCUCCUGUUUUGGGGAUGAGUCUACUCAUAAGCAAUUAAGAAAGGUACUUGCCUACUUUCCAAGAUCUAGAUGCUUUUAUUAAUAAAUAACUGCCACAAAAUGUCUAUAACUCCAAUUCAUGGCAAACCCUGAAGGAAGCUGAAGUAGGGAGGCAAAGCUGUAUGGAUAUCUAGACAUAACAAAAAUGUUUACAGCAAAGUUUAUGAACUCAAGUUAGAGUGAGAUUCUGGGACUGCUUCUUGUCUUUCUCCAUCCCUGGGAACUGCCCCAAGUGGUGAAACAUUUAGAAAUUCGAUUCUCUUCACCUUUGAGAUGAAUAAGGAGGAAAUUUGGGAAAAAUGGGACUAUGCUCUUUGCUUGUGUCUACAGUAAGACAUAUAACCUUUCAUUCUAUGGGAAAAUACGAGUUUAACUGGAACAGAUGAAACACUAAUAUAUCAAGAAAGACCCCACAGAAUCUAGGAAUUAAAGAUGGCUUGGUCUUUUCAUAUGUCCAUAGUUUCAUUUCAUACCAUCUUCUUUGUUCAUUCUAUUCUAAUCUAAAAAUCACCCCCAGGACCAUUUUUCCGCUUUUGACCUUAACCUGAACAAGCUCAUUAUUAACUGUGGGGGAGUUUGUAAGAUUAAAUACCAUUUUUUUUUUUAAAUGCUUCUGGCCAUUUACUAGUUUCCUAAAUCAAAUUCUCUCUCUUUAAACAACAGUCCUUUGUACAUACUCAGCUCUUGUCUCCACUCUCAUUGCUUGCCCAAUUCUCCAUGCCAUUUUAACUGGAAUUUUUUGGGGGUGGGGUGGGUACAAGGCUAUGGCAUGCAGAAGCUCCCGGGUCAGGGAUUGAACCUGCGCCACAGUUGCAGCCUGUGUCACAGUUGCGGCAACUCAGAUUCUUAAUGUGUUGCUCUGCAACAAAACUUCCUUAAUUGGGAUUUUAAGACUGCUCUUGCUUUUACUCAAGGGCCCACAUAUUAGCGCAUCUAGAAUGUCCUUUCUUUUCCCCAGUCUCACAUAUUCCUCCAUCCCCCCUACAAUCCCUCCCUCAGACUCAGAGUCCAAACAGAUUUAAGAUGCCUAGUGCUUUAAGAAGCCAAUAACUGAUAAUAAAUAUCUCAAGUGGUUAUAAUCCUUGGCACUUGGUGACAGCUAGAUGACCUUCAACUGUUAUUCUGAUGUGAGAAUCACCUGCAAUACUUGAAUCUUAAGACUGAUCUCAUAAGGGUCAUGAAAAGAAACACCUUAAAGAAAGUUGGUGACCCAGAGAAAUGUUCAAUGAAGCUUAGCCAAAUUAGGAUAUACCAUGCUUUUAAACAUUUAAUUAUUUUAAAUUAUUUCUUUCAAGAGUAUAUGCUGACCAAAGAAGAAAAUUUUUGAGUACGAUUCUGAGAUAUUGUUUUAUAUGAGAGAGAAAUUCAAUGUUUGUCAUGUAUAUUAAGCAGCAAUGAUUUGAGAUGUAGAAAGAAUUCACGUCCUUAGGAAUCUUAAUACCAUAAAUUUCUUAGCAAUUAAAUAAGCUUUGGCUAGUAAAUGUCAAUCCUUUUUGAAUUUCCAUGCAUUAUUAUCUCAGCUUUCUAAUUUUACAUUUAGAAUAAGCCCAUUUCAAGAAAAUAAGGAUGAAGCAGAUAGAUUAUGUUGCUUGCUGCUUCUACCUCAUUUUGUUUUGUUUUGUUUUCUAUUUUAUUUUAUUUUAGGCCAUGCCCACAGCAUGAAGAAGUUCCUGAGGCAGGGAUUGAACCCAUGCCACAACAGUGACCCAAGCCACAGCAAUGACAAUGCCAGAUCCUUAGAUGCUAGGCUACCAGGGAACUCUCCUUCUAAUUUAACACCAGAAGUUUGACAGUAGACAGACUUUAGGGGGUGACAGUCUGGUAAGAACUUGAAGGAAUAGUUCCACAGUACUUUAAGAUUAUAUUAUUAAUUGUGCCAAAGUGGAUGAGAGAUAGGAGAAGUUAUAGAGAACCCAGGGCUUCUCUAAGACCUGGCUUCUCCUAUUUGCUGUUAUGAGAAAAAAUAAGUGGACAAGAGUUUCCAACUCUCAAACAUAGUAUAUACAAUACAUACUUUAACCUAGUUUACAGUUUACAUUUAUUAUGCCCACUGAAACCACAAAGCCAAUGUUUCAUUUUACAGUUUAAAGUCACACAUAGGGAAAUGCUUUACAAAAUAGGAUAUUGUUCCUUAAUGAAAAAUAGUACAGUAUAGGUCCCAAACGUUUCAGUUCAAGUGGUUUACCUGAAUAAUAGAGCUGUUGUGGAAUGCAGGCUACAAGACACAGUAAUGCUUUCAAUAGUCCAUUCACGUUUGAAAUUUCCCAAAGCUGAAGAGACAUUUUAAACAAGACCUGUCUUAGUUUUCCAAGACAUUUUUGGUUUUUCCAACAGCAUUAUAUUUACUGAAAAUCUCCAUCACUUAUGGAAAAUUGAGGGUAAGAAGCAGCUUACAUUUUCCUGCUUGUAUAGAGCAUGUAAAUCUUCAGUAUUUUACACUACCUUGAAAACAUCUUUCAACAUUUAAAAAUCUCAGUUCUACCUAUUUAGGCUUAUUACCUGACUUGACUAACAGACUCUGAGAGAGAAAUCAAAUAUUCGUGCCACUGCCUAUAUCAAAUUGAACAUAUUUCUGCAAGCUGUUUAGUGAUCUGCAGACUAUUUACAAAGCAUAUGCAAGAUUUCCUCUGAUUAAUGCAUCGUAAUGCAUAAAAUGUUAGCAUUAUUUGUCAAGUCCUACAUUUAUGUCAUGCUGGAGUGUGUGAUGCAGAAAUACCAUCCAGAGACAAUAUAUAUUUUUUAACCCAAAGUCUAAUUUCAAAAAGUCACACACAGUACACUAUCCUAUCCUAGAUAUACUCAGUAUGGGAUAAAGUGUUUCUAAUAUGUUGAGAAUUGCUACAGAAAGAGAGGUAAGUAGCCAAGUGUUUACUGUGGACAUAAAAUAUUGCAAAGCUUAAACAGCGUCAGGCCAAAUAUACACAAAAGUUCCUUUGUGUAUAAGAAACAAACAAGUUUGUUUGAAAAGAAUGCUGAUGGCUUAGUAGGUGAUGGAACAAGACUCAUCUAAAAAUCUGCUACGCUAACCUGAUGCUCAUUAAGUUUGAUGUCACCUUAAACAUCCUUGAUGUAUGUGUAGCUUAUGUCAUUAAACACUGCCGAUCCAAAUGACCAUGCGAUACCACUUUCCAAAUCUGGAGUAUCAGGUGGUGCCCCAGCCUUGACAAAAUGCUUAGAAUUCUUUCUUGAAAAUUGAAAAACCUUGUAGAAUAAAAGAGUAACUCAGAAAUACCACAUUUGACAGUUGGUCACUGAAGAUGUUAGCACCUUGAUAAAGAUUACAAUUGUUCACUAGAUGUUCCAAAGGAAGAUUUAAAAAAAAAAAAAAAAAAAAGAAUGCCCUGUUUUAUUUAUAAAUCACAGUUUUCCUCACAGUGUUAGACUUGGGUCACUCUGAUGUGGCAGUGACUUCUAGGAUGAUGGGCCUUUAUUUUUUCAUUUGACCUAUGGCAGUGCACAAGGACCAGCUGGAGCUAUGAGAUGAGGACCACAGACAGCACACUUAUUCUUAGAGCUAAGAUAGUAAGAGGGUGCAAUGAACAGGGUUAAUGAAUAUAUAUGUUUCAGUCCCUUUCCCUUUUAAAACCGAGGUUUUCUAACAACACAUUCCUUUAUUUGUUCUACAAAAUUUGCCUCGAGAAUUAAGAUAUCAUGGCACUGGUAAGAUAUUUGCCAGAUUGAAUGCUUUUCUGAACACUACAUAUAUUCCUAUUUUCUGGCUCACGAAUGCAUGGGUUGGUGUUUCAAUAUAUUCUCAUACCUUAAUUGAAUAGGACACUCAGUUAUGCAGUGUUGACUGAUGUGUUCCA
rnacentral:lncRNA from 1 species